GGAUUUUUUUUUUUUUUUUUUAAGAAACCUAGGAAACACGUUUCCACUUUUCAGAAUUUCCAGACACAGCCUCGAAACGUGUCUUUGCCGUGUCUUGCCAACUUCAAAUAUUGCCGUUUCCAUGCUUCACUGCUAAGCAGAACUAGUUCUACUAUGAUCCUUGAGCUUGCAUCAAACAUACCUACUUAAUCCUCUCCAUCUAGCCUAAUUCUUCAACUUUUUAUAUGAUAGACCAAAGGAUUUGGGAAAAAAAUAUGUUAGUUUCAAGUUUCAAGUUUCAACAUUACAUAGUCUGAAUGGAAAGCACAUCCUAACACACUAUCCUAAAGAAGAAUGCAUAUGAGUUAGCAAGAGCAAUAAAGACAACUUUGGAAUUGAAGGGCUUUUUUGGGAAGUUGUGCUGCACUCAGAGAUCUCUCAAUGGAGGAUUUAUUAGUGACUAUAACACAUUAAUUGCAAAAUAAGUUCGAUAAAUUGCCACUACGCAAGACACUGGUAUGGAUGAAGGAAAAUGUCAUUGUUCAAGGGGAAAAUAGAACAACAGAAAUUUGGCCUACGACAUUAAAGUCCCCAUUCACUCU
rnacentral:misc_RNA from 1 species